rnacentral:rRNA from 1 species
GACAGAGGGUGCAAACGUUGUUCGGAAUUACUGGGCGUAAAGCGCGUGUAGGCGGUCUCGCAAGUCGGGUGUGAAAGCCCAGGGCUCAACCCUGGAAGUGCAUUCGAUACUGCGAGGCUAGAGUCCCGGAGAGGAUGGUGGAACUCUCGGUGUAGAGGUGAAAUUCGUAGAUAUCGAGAAGAACACCGGUGGCGAAGGCGGCCAUCUGGACGGUGACUGACGCUGAGACGCGAAAGCGUGGGGAGCAAACAGG